CCUGCUUGGUCAGGCAUGUGUUCAGUUCAGCCUUAACCGUUACACAGAGUCUUUGGACUUAUAUAAGAGGGCAUUGCAAGUGUAUCCCAAUGGUCCUGC